rnacentral:rRNA from 1 species
ACGAACGCUGGCGGCGUGCUUAACCCAUGCAAGUCGAACGGAAAGGCCCUGCUUUUGUGGGGUGCUCGAGUGGCGAACGGGUGAGUAACACGGGAGUAACCUGCCCUUGACUUUGGGAUAACUUCAGGAAACUGGGGCUAAUACCGGAUAGGAGCUCCUGCUGCAUGGUGGGGGUUGGAAAGUUUCGGCGGUUGGGGAUGGACUCGCGGCUUAUCAGCUUGUUGGUGGGGUAGUGGCUUACCAAGGCUUUGACGGGUAGCCGGCCUGAGAGGGUGACCGGCCACAUUGGGACUGAGAUACGGCCCAGACUCCUACGGGAGGCAGCAGUGGGGAAUAUUGCACAAUGGGCGGAAGCCUGAUGCAGCAACGCCGCGUGCGGGAUGACGGCCUUCGGGUUGUAAACCGCUUUCGCCUGUGACGAAGCGUGAGUGACGGUAAUGGGUAAAGAAGCACCGGCUAACUACGUG